UGUCUAAGUAUAAACAAAUCUAUACUGUGAAAC
rnacentral:misc_RNA from 1 species